UACAAUAUUUUGACUCUUUAUCUUAUUUAAAAUUUUUUUAUAAUUGAUAUUUUUAUUUUUAUUAGAUGAUAAAACAUAAAUAGUGUUUUAUGCGUGACUAAUUUUUUAAAAUUUUUUAUAAAUUUUUUAAAUAAGAUGAAUGUUUAAACGUUAGACAUGGAAA
rnacentral:pre_miRNA from 1 species